AUUGGAUAACUUUCACCUGGAUAGGUGACAAGUAGGUGACAUGUGUCCAUGCAUAACAUAAGUGGUGGCACAAUUUAAUACUUAAUUACAAGUUAUGGGCCAUAGACCCACACGUGUAUGGAGAAGGACUAGUUAUGUCCUAUUUUAUUGUUGGCUUUAAAUGACAUCUGAAGUAUGUAUAUGUAUUUUUAGCUACAGCAACAUGUUUUCACUUCUUUGAGAGUUAAUAACGUGUAACCUUGCAAACAAACAAAAACAAGAGUGUUUUCUUUGUUCCAAGGAAGAAGAACGUAAUCUUCCUCAAAGAACAACGUACGGAUUUUGGUCUCAUUGUCUCUGCUUCAAUUUCACUGUUCCGUUUUGUCGCGUUGUUUAACCCGGGCUUUCUUCAUAAUGAAGUAAGGUGGAACUGGAUUAAAUCUUGGCAUAUAAGAUUGGUGAAGUCCAAGACCUAAGUUAUGGUUAACUUGAGAAGCGACAAGGUACCGAGGUUCGUGAUCUGCCAGUGUAGGCCACACAUUCUGCUACUACAGAGUGCUCCAUUUUGAUUCGGACCCCACACUUUGGUAUAUGCCCUUUUUGUCAUACAUAUGCUUAUGUAUAUUUGACUAUUUGGGGUACGGCGGGGCCCUGUCCCGUCAUAUGAUUCCGAUAUGGUUUGUAGAGACCUGUAGUCAUAUAUGUGGGUCAUGGGUCACGUGUGUGUUUGUUUGUGCAUGAUCUGCGUUUUAGUGCAGUUCUGUUUGCUAGUAUGGCCAAAACGGCCCAUUUGUCAGCACACGUAUAUGUAUCUGGCAAUGUACAUUCCGCCAACCUAUCAGAUUUGGAUACGGCCAAAAUGGCCUGUAUAUUUGUAUAUGUGCAUAUGUACGGCGAUGUAUAUUCCGCCGACCCUUUUGACUUGAUAUGAUAUUUUGUAUA